rnacentral:rRNA from 1 species
AGUGGCGAACGGGUGAGUAACGCGUAGGCAACCUGCCCCCCGGAUUGGGACAACACCCCGAAAGGGGUGCUAAUACCGGAUACGAAGAUAGCACCGCAUGGUGAUAUUUUGAAAGAUGGCCUCUAUUUAUAAGCUAUCGGCCGGGGGAUGGGCCUGCGUCCGAUUAGCUGGUUGGUGGGGUAACGGCCCACCAAGGCGACGAUCGGUAGCCGGUCUGAGAGGAUGAACGGCCACAUUGGGACUGAGACACGGCCCAGACUCCUACGGGAGGCAGCAGUGGGGAAUCUUCCGCAAUGGGCGAAAGCCUGACGGAGCAACGCCGCGUGGGUGAGGAAGUUUCCUUCGGAACGUAAAGCCCUGUUGUACAUGACGAACGUGCAUCCUAUCAACAACGGGAUGCAAUGACGGUAGUGUACGAGGAAGCCACGGCUAACUACGUGCCAGCCGCAGC